CGAAGACCCAGCAGGGGCUUCUGGCCUGGGACCACAUGGCUGCCCUGUGCUGGAACCUCAGUGUUGCUGCUGCUACAGCUGCUGCCAUGUUGUCACAUGGGUUGAUGGUAUUGUGAAAUUGUCUGAACUAAACGUCCAAGAGCUGUGACUGUGCUGAAGGGUGGGCUGGCUGCCUGCUAUGGGGAUUUGGCUGGGGCAAACGUUCAGCUGUUUUGCAACAGGGCAAGAGUUUCCUGUGGCAGGCUCCUGCGGAGAAACCUCAGUACUGACCUUCAUCUGUGUGCUGCCAUUUUGGCUUAGCAUGCCCAUUCUUUCUUUAUAAAGAAAUAAAAAAAAUGGACCCUG